GACAAAUGAUCGCGGCUGCAGGCACCGCAAGGUGGCAGGUGAGGAAAGUCCGGGCUUCACAGGGCAGGAUGCCGGUUAACGGCCGGUGGGGGUGACCCUAAGGAUAGCGCAACAGAAAUAAACCGCCUGACUCGUCAGGUAAGGGUGGAAAGGCAGUGUAAGAGACUACCGCCGUCCUGGUAACAGGGCGGGCACAUGCAAGCCCCAUCCGAAGCAAGACCAAACAGAAAGCAUAAGGCGGCCCGUCUGCUUUCGGGUAGGUCGCUGGAGCCUGGUGGCAACAUCAGGCCUAGAUAGAUGAUCAUUCACGACAGAACCCGGCUUAUCGUUCCACUCAU
rnacentral:RNase_P_RNA from 1 species